ensembl:misc_RNA Metazoa_SRP Metazoan signal recognition particle RNA
GGUAGGUGUGGUGACACUUACGUGUAAUCUCAGCUACUCAGGAGGCUGAGGCAGAAGGAUGGCUUGAGCGGAGGAGUUCUGGGUUGUAGUGCCCUAUGACGAUAGGGUGUCUGCACUAGGUUCAGCAUCAAUAUGAUGACCUCCUGAGAACAAGGGACUACCAGGUUGCCCAAGGAGGGGUGAUCUAGCCCAGGAACGGAGAAGGUCAAAACUCCUGUGUUUAUCAGUAGUGGGAUGGUGUGUGUGUGUGAAUAGCCGCUGCACUCCAGCCUGGGCAACAUAGUUAGACCCCAUCUCU